GCGUGAAGAUUAAUUCAGCUCAAAGGGAAGCUGACUGAUUAAAAAAACUUUGAGUUCCAGGAUUUUAUAAAAGAUAAAUUGCAGAAAGUGGAUACUUGUUCCUUUGCAUCCUUUGAUUGUUUUGUAUAAUCAGUAGGAGCUCCUGAUGGAAGUGAAGGUGGUGAGGUGCUGUGUUCCAUUGUGCUUGCUUUCUUUAGGAAACAGUAGGUUUACAAUUGAAAAGUCAGCUUUGUGUGCCAAACUCUGGUGUGUACAGUGCCAGUUUUUUUUUUUCCUUUGACUCCUUCCUACCUAUUGUCUUUAGAAAUCAUGUUUAAUCUUGUUAGAUGCACAAUGUGUGUUAGGAAGAAAAGAGUGGAAUGAAAAAGGGUCACUUUGGUGUCUGCCACAGGCUGGGCACAGCUCUGUUUGUAAUCAGAGGCUCCCCUGGUGCAGCCUGUGGCUGCUUGGCAGUGGGCUGCUGCGGCUGGCAGGCUGGGUCUGGCCCCAGCAGCUCUCAUCCCCUCGGUGUCUCCGGCUGGAGCUCGCUGAAGAGCAAGCAGGAAUGCUGCUGGGGGCUCCUGCGUGACCUUGGAGUGGCACCAAAGUCCUGGGACGCUGGGAUGGAAGUGUUAGCCCCUGAGAAGAAAAAACAUGAAGAGAAUGAAGAUUUGCAACAGUAUCCUCAGAAGCCUGCAAGCUGUAAGAAAAUGCUUAGGAAUUGCUGCUUGAUAAAGCGAAUUUUUGCCUGGAAAAGUUUGAGCUCUAAAGGUACAUUUUCUAUUGAAAAUUUUAGUGUAGGAGAAUUUGUUGUCCUUCCAAGAAUUCUGAAUUUUUGAUACAAUGGUAUUACUGAAUUUAACAUCAGUCAAGUUACAGGUACAAAAAGUCUCUGCUGUCUUGAGUCUAUUGUGCAAGGAGAUUAAAAGUGGUACAGCUUUGAUUGAGGUGCUUUAUCGUAAUGUGAUAAAAAUAAUUGUACUGCAGGAGUAUUCAUUUGCAGCACGUAAAAAUACAUGGUCUGCAGAAAAAAAAAUCCUUAAGUCAGAAGAUAAAUGAGUAAAUGUAAAAUCCCAGCAAUUAGAUGUUUUAAUUUAUCAGGGCCCAAUCCAAAAUUCUGGUCUGAUGAGUAAAACCUCCUUUAAUUUUUGUCAGAGUAUAUUUGCAUGGAAAUUACAUGAUCAAUCCCUUUGUCUUUGAGGAAACGAAGAAAGGUAACAUUCUGUCACAUUUAUACAUAAUGAUGUUAUGUACUGUAUUUAUUAAUAAAUAUUAAACGAAAUGCUUCUUUUUUAAAUUA
rnacentral:lncRNA from 1 species